AUUCUCAGGGCGGGGUGUAAGUCCCCACCGGCGGUAUCUGUAGAUAGCAUCAGCUAGAUUGCAGCAGCCCGCGAGCGCUUGCCACGGUAGUGAUUGUGUGUAACCACAUGAUUAUACUGCGGCAAGGUCAGCAGAUCCGGUGAGAUGCCGGGGCCGACGGUUAUAGUCCGGAUAGAAGAGAGU
rnacentral:ncRNA from 1 species